rnacentral:tRNA from 1 species
GUCCCCAUCGUCUAGUCGGUCUAGGACACCAGAUUUUCAUUCUGGUAACAGCGGUUCGAAUCCGCUUGGGGACG